CCUACGGGUGGCAGCAGUGGGGCAUAUUGCACCAUGGGGGAAACCCUGAUGCAGCGACGCCGCGUGAGUGAAGAAGUAUCUCGGUACGUAACGCUCUAUCAGCAGGGAAGAAAAUGACGGUACCUGACUAAGAAGCCCCGACUAACUACGUGCCAGCAGCCGCGGUAAUACGUAGGGGGCAAGCGUUAUCCGGAUUUACUGGGUGUAAAGGGAGCGUAGACGGCAGCACAAGUCUGGAGUGAAAUCCCGGGGCUUAACCCCGGAACUGCUUUGGAAACUGUGCGGCUUGAGUGCAGGAGGGGUAAGCGGAAUUCGUAGUGUAGCGGUGAAAUGCGUAGAUAUUAGGAGGAACACCGGUGGCGAAGGCGGCUUACUGGACUGUAACUGACGUUGAGGCUCGAAAGCGUGGGGAGCAAACAGGAUUAGAGACCCGGGUAGUC
rnacentral:rRNA from 1 species